GUGCUAAGGGCUCAGCUCCAGUGCCGGAGCCGGCUCCGGACACGCCGCACGGACAAGCGAGAAACCCAGGAAAACCUGCGUGGAAUCACAGCUACUGCUGAGGACACGAGGAAAAGGAAUGAAGACUGCCUGCCUCUACCAUAUAACAUUUUCUGGUGGAUGGGAAGGAUUUUUGAACAGGGAAUCAGAGAAUUUGCAAGGAUUGGAAUAAAGAACUCUUGAGACCUGCUUGCCAGUUGAAUAGCGAGGGCUGCAUGGAGCUCCAGCAGUAAUGUUUGUGCAGAGUCCUGCUGAAAGCAUCAAGCGAGGCACAGCUCUUCAGCACAACUGAGUUUUCAUUGAGCCAGCUAUGAGACAGACAAUGUUUCAGGCAACAAAUUCUUGUUCAGGGCUAAGACAGAAGGACCAAGCUUUAAGAUGAAAGAUUUUCAAAAAAAAUUUUGAAUGUUAUCUGCUGCAUAAGCAGAGAAGACUGUCUUGAAAUUCAGAGAUGGAUGGGACACAGCAGAUUUCUGCAUCUACACACCUUAUGUAAAAGCUGUAAAGAACAGGCAGCUGUCAGCAAGAGCUAGUCCCAAAGCAACUGAUACAUUUGCAACUUCGUCUCUUCAUGGAAGUAAUUAAGGGAAUGUGAGAAUUUUCAAGAAAAUUCUUUCGGUUAAGGGAUAAUGUGGAAAGUUUUAUUUCCCCCAUUACAUUUCUAUUUCUUCUAUUAUGUUCCCAUCAUAAAAUAAAAAUCUUUGAAUAUACAAUUAUAAGUGAGGUCUGAAAUUAAAGAUUUAGUGUCUGUAUACCGUGGAGAUGGUUGUACUUCCUACCUAUAAAGAGCCAUAUGAAACCCCAGAGUUCUUUUGUAAUUUGUGUUAGAGGAAUUGUAAGCACAUCACUGAAACUCCCCCUGCUAAAACCUUCUGAAGAGUGUUGUAGAUGAGAAAACUCCCUGUCAUGUGAAGCGUUUCUAUUUUUACCAUGUCACUAGGAAGAGUCACUAUUUACUGCAUUAGCUAUAACCUAAGGAGAUAUGUCCUGUGGCA